CCGUCAAUGGGCGAAAGCCUGACGGAGCAAGACCGCGUGGGGGAAGAAGGUCUGUGGAUUGUAAACCCCUUUGACAGGGAAGAAGCUCUGACGGUACCUGUCGAAUCAGCCUCGGCUAACUCCGUGCCAGCAGCCGCGGUAAUACAGAGGCCUCAAGCGUUGUUCGGAAUCACUGGGCGUAAAGGGUGCGUAGGCGGCGCGGAAAGUCAGGGGUGAAAUCCCGGAGCUCAACUCCGGAACUGCCUUUGAUACUCCCGCGCUUGAGAACUGGAGGGGAGAUCGGAAUUCACGGUGGAGCAGUGAAAUGCGUGGAUAUCGUGAGGAACACUAGUGGCGAAGGCGGAUCUCUGGACAGUAUCUGACGCUGAGGCACGAAGGCCAGGGGAGCGAACGGGAUUAGAUACCCCGGUAGUCCUGGCAGUAAACGGUGCACGCUUGGUAUGGGGGGAAUCGACCCCUCCCGUGCCGGAGCUAACGCGUUAAGCGUGCCGCCUGGGAAGUACGGUCGCAAGAUUA
rnacentral:rRNA from 1 species